rnacentral:rRNA from 1 species
UACAGAGGUCCCGAGCGUUGUUCGGAUUUAUUGGGCGUAAAGGGUGCGUAGGCGGCGGAGUAAGUUGGGUGUGAAAUCCCGGGGCUUAACCUCGGAAUUGCAUUCAAUACUGCUUCGCUUGAGUACUGGAGAGGAGGCUGGAAUUUACGGUGUAGCAGUGAAAUGCGUAGAUAUCGUAAGGAAGACCAGUGGCGAAGGCGAGUCUCUGGACAGUUACUGACGCUGAGGCACGAAGGCCAGGGGAGCAAACGGG